CGGGGGGAGCAAGCGUUGUUCGGAUUUACUGGGCGUAAAGGGCGCGUAGGCGGCCACCGCAAGUCGACUGUGAAAUCUCCGGGCUUAACCCGGAAAGGUCAGCCGAUACUGCGGGGCUAGAGUGCAGAAGGGGCAACUGGAAUUCUCGGUGUAGCGGUGAAAUGCGUAGGUAUCGAGAGGAACACCUGCGGCGAAGGCGGGUUGCUGGGCUGACACUGACGCUGAUGCGCGAAAGCUAGGGGGAGCGAACGGGAUUAGAUACCCCGGUAGUCCUAGCCUUAAACGAUGAAUGCUUGGUGUCUGGGGUUCUAUAGUCCCCGGGUGCCGUCGCUAACGCUUUAAGCAUUCCGCCUGGGGAGUACGGUCGCAAGACUG
rnacentral:rRNA from 1 species